GGAUGAACGCUGGUGGUAUGCUUAACACAUGCAAGUCGAACGGGCUCUUCGGAGCUAGUGGCGGACGGGUGAGUAACGCGUGAGAAUCUGCCUUCAGGUUGGGGACAACAGUUAGAAAUGACUGCUAAUACCCAAUGUGCCUAGCGGUGAAAGAUUUAUCGCCUGAAGAGGAGCUCGCGUCUGAUUAGCUAGUUGGUGGGGUAAAAGCCUACCAAGGCAUCGAUCAGUAGCUGGUCUGAGAGGAUGAGCAGCCACACUGGAACUGAGACACGGUCCAGACUCCUACGGGAGGCAGCAGUGGGGAAUUUUCCGCAAUGGGCGAAAGCCUGACGGAGCAAUACCGCGUGAGGGAGGAAGGCUCUUGGGUUGUAAACCUCUUUUCUCAGGGAAGAAUAACUGACGGUACCUGAGGAAUAAGCAUCGGCUAACUCCGUGCCAGCAGCCGCGGUAAUACGGAGGAUGCAAGCGUUAUCCGGAAUCAUUGGGCGUAAAGCGUCCGCAGGUGGCCCUAUAAGUCUGCUGUCAAAGACCGGAGCUUAACUCUGGAAAGGCGGUGGAAACUGUAGAGCUAGAGUACGUAGGGUAGAGGGAAUUCCCAGUGUAGCGGUGAAAUGCAUAGAGAUUGGGAAGAACACCGGUGGCGAAAGCCGCUCUACUGGGCCGUAACUGACACUCAGGGACGAAAGCUAGGGUAGCGAAAGGGAUUAGAUACCCCUGUAGUCUUAGCUGUAAACGAUGGAUACUAGGCGUAGCUUGUAUCGACCCGAGCUGUGCCGAAGCAAACGCGUUAAGUAUCCCGCCUGGGGAGUACGCACGCAAGUGUGAAACUCAAAGGAAUUGACGGGGGCCCGCACAAGCGGUGGAGUAUGUGGUUUAAUUCGAUGCAACGCGAAGAACCUUACCAGGACUUGACAUGUCGCGAAUUCUGGGGAAACUCGGAAGUGCCUUCGGGAGCGCGAACACAGGUGGUGCAUGGCUGUCGUCAGCUCGUGUCGUGAGAUGUUGGGUUAAGUCCCGCAACGAGCGCAACCCUCGUCCUUAGUUGCCAGCAUUAAGUUGGGCACUCUGGGGAGACUGCCGGUGACAAACCGGAGGAAGGUGGGGAUGACGUCAAGUCAGCAUGCCCCUUACGUUCUGGGCUACACACGUACUACAAUGGUUGAGACAAAGGGCAGCGAGCGAGCGAUCGUAAGCGAAUCUCAUCAAACUCAGCCUCAGUUCAGAUUGCAGGCUGCAACUCGCCUGCAUGAAGGAGGAAUCGCUAGUAAUCGCAGGUCAGAAUACUGCGGUGAAUCCGUUCCCGGGCCUUGUACACACCGCCCGUCACACCAUGGAAGCUGGCCACGCCCGAAGUCGUUACCCUAACCCGUAUGGGAGGGGGAUGCCGAAGGCAGGGCUAGUGACUGGGGU
rnacentral:rRNA from 1 species